rnacentral:rRNA from 1 species
CCUACGGGUGGCAGCAGUAAGGGAUAUUGGUCAAUGGGGGAAACCCUGAACCAGCAACGCCGCGUGAGGGAAGACGGUUUUCGGAUUGUAAACCUCUGUCCUCUGUGAAGUUGAUGACGGUAGCAGAGGAGGAAUCUACGGCUAACUACGUGCCAGCAGCCGCGGUAAUACGUAGGGAGCGAGCGUUGUCCGGAUUUUCUGGGGGUUAAGAGUUGCGUAGGUGGGAUAAUAAGUAGCUAGUGGAAUCUGGUGGCUCAACCAUUCAGACUAUUAGCUAAACUGUUAAGCUCGAGACCGUUAGGGGUAACUGGAAUUUGUAGUGUAGGAGUGAAAUCCGUAGAUAUUAGAAGGAACACCAAUAGCGUAGGCAGGUUGCUGGGACGGUUCUGACACUAAGGCACGAAAGCGUAGGGAGCAAACGGGAUUAGAUACCCGAGUAGUC